rnacentral:rRNA from 1 species
UACGAAGGGGGCCAGCGUUGCCCGGAUUGACUGGGCGUAAAGGGCGCGUAGGCGGUUCGUACAGUCAGACGUGAAAUUCCUGGGCUCAACCUGGGGGCUGCGUUUGAUACGUGCGGACUUGAGUGCGGAAGAGGGUCGUGGAAUUCCCAGUGUAGAGGUGAAAUUCGUAGAUAUUGGGAAGAACACCGGUGGCGAAGGCGGCGACCUGGUCCGAUACUGACGCUGAGGCGCGAAAGCGUGGGGAGCAAACAGG